AACGCGAAGAACCUUACCAGCUUUUGACAUGUCCGGUAUGGUUUCCAGAGAUGGAUUCCUUCAGUUCGGCUGGCCGGAACACAGGUGCUGCAUGGCUGUCGUCAGCUCGUGUCGUGAGAUGUUGGGUUAAGUCCCGCAACGAGCGCAACCCUCGCCCUUAGUUGCCAUCAUUUAGUUGGGCACUCUAGGGGGACUGCCGGUGAUAAGCCGCGAGGAAGGUGGGGAUGACGUCAAGUCCUCAUGGCCCUUACAGGCUGGGCUACACACGUGCUACAAUGGCGGUGACAAUGGGAUGCUAUGGGGCGACCCCUCGCAAAUCUCAAAAAGCCGUCUCAGUUCGGAUUGUACUCUGCAACUCGAGUGCAUGAAGGUGGAAUCGCUAGUAAUCGCAGAUCAGCACGCUGCGGUGAAUACGUUCCCGGGCCUUGUACACACCGGCUAC
rnacentral:rRNA from 1 species